rnacentral:lncRNA from 1 species
AAACUACCGGCGAGGCGUCCGAAAGAGAUUCCAAGAGUCAGAAGAAAAAUAUAGCAUUGCUCGUGGAAACCAUGCAGUUGGGUGUCGCCGGCGUGUUCUGUGUCACGGCAAAGACAAUGUGUUGCGCUUCGUGGAACUUUCAAGGAUUUUCCUGUAAUAUUUCAACUCAGGGGACCAGCAUAGGUAACCUCUGCAGUCUCCGCGUGUGACGCAAACUUGGUGAACCAUGCGCACUUCCUGAUAAAUGAGGAGCGCGAGGUAAGUAAGAGCCUUUGGUCCACUGCAUACACUUUACAGUGUCUGUGGUGUAAAAGGAUGGGAAUUUCCCGUGUCUACGUAGCCUUUAACGGUUGCUACGUGUUAUUUUACAAACCAGUACGCGGGCUAUCAUCUUCAACAGUGGUGAUCCAUGCAAGCACUCUUGUUACAGUGUUUCCCGGCUUCAGCUCCAGUGGACUCUGCCCACCAUGCAGCGGGGAUUUCAGAGAGAGUGAGCCCCGACAAAGCUCGAGACUAUUUUGUCAGCCCUCUUCCUGACCCACAACUUGCCGGCACCGGUAACAGUGAUUGAAAAAC